GUAGGUGGCAAGCGUUGUCCGGAAUUAUUGGGCGUAAAGCGCGCGCAGGCGGUUCUUUAAGUCUGAUGUGAAAGCCCACGGCUCAACCGUGGAGGGUCAUUGGAAACUGGUGAACUUGAGUACAGAAGAGGAAAGCGGAAUUCCACGUGUAGCGGUGAAAUGCGUAGAGAUGUGGAGGAACACCAGUGGCGAAGGCGGCUUUCUGGUCUGUAACUGACGCUGAGGCGCGAAAGCGUGGGGAGCAAACAGGGAUUAGAUACCCUGGUAGUCCACGCCGUAAACGAUGAGUGCUAAGUGUUAGGGGGUUUCCGCCCCCUUAGUGCUGCAGCUAACGCAUUAAGCACUCCGCCUGGGGAUACGGCCGCAAGGCUG
rnacentral:rRNA from 1 species